rnacentral:misc_RNA from 1 species
CUUCAAAUGUGUGAUUUUAUUUCGAAACGAUAUUAACAAGUGCAUCAAUCAUUUUAUAAAAGCACUUGAUGGUCUUGUACUUUACAUAAGUGGCUAGUUUCUCUACGUCAUUAUAUAAUUAAGUCUUGCAAAUUGUUACCUUGAGGUUAUGAAAAGUGUUAUGGAAAGUAAUCUCAGAAUAGAUGAUUCGAAAUAUUUUACAAUAUUUAUAAAUUUGAUUAAAACGAUUGAUUAAAACAUCACAAAAAAGAAGUUUAUGUUUAGAGUUCGUUAUUCUGAUAAGAUUGACACAUAAAUACAGCAACAGAGUAAUAAUAUCAGGAGGAUUUACUUGUAUAAGAGCACACAUGUAAAUAUACUACGUAGUUAAAGCACGAUUACGAGUAAUGAACUUGUUGCUAUUUUAUUUCAUGCGUUUUUUUAAUUAUAAGAAAAUUUGUAGAAUUGGCUUUUAGAUUAUUACAGAUCAUGAUUAAUACGAUUAUCUUUGAAUCGUGCUUUCUGAUACAAUUUUUGCGAUAAGACUGUUGAAUAUUGUAAAAAUGAAUAUUGUAAAAAAAUUUUUUUAACGUUGAUAUCGUGGCUUAUCUCUGCUGUGAUUCGUGUGAGUGCAUUCGCGGCGCGCACCACACACUCGCUUGUCCAUGCGAGGCAUGAAAUACGCACGGGACGUGUUCGUUUCAUCAGUCGAUCGCGGUACGGGGACUUGGUAUGCUCAGAGUGAAGAAAUCGCAGAAUAAAAUUAUCAUAGAAAUGCAAUCGCGACAACGCAAUACAUCAUCUGGUAGUCAGCUGCUAUACUUUGGCGCGAAAAUAUUCAUUUUUGCGAUCAUCUGCAAUGAAUUUAUGGGACAAGUUAGCAGUCAGUUUCAUGGCAAUCCGGAUGGCAUAGUCUUCCCUGGACCAAUAAACUCGAGAUCGAGGAGCAGAUCUGUUAAUGAACCCACGGAGGGCUCCGCAGAUGACAACGAUUCACCGGUACCGCUCAGUUUAGCAGCUAGAUUAAAUUCCAUAGAAACAACGGAUGAAUUCCUGCAGUUACUUCAAGGUGUUCCAGGGAACCAAAAAAUAGACCCUUUCUUCAUCAGUCCCAGUAGAUUCGGCGAAGGCGAGGAACGAUCUAGUGCGAUAAGACCAGCGCCGGCCAGAUGCAUGCCCGAGCUGCAACCUGUUUCUUUAAAGCUGGACGACGAUCCUACGACGAUUAUCUUCCCGUCUUGCACACGAAUCAAAAGAUGCGGCGGAUGUUGUGGUAGCUCUCUGCUCUCGUGCCAACCAACAGCGAUGGAGAUCCGAAACUUUGAGGUGAUCGUGUCGUCGGUGUCACUGAAUUACAAAGGCCGACAAAUCGUGCCGCUGGAGGAGCACACUAAGUGCAAAUGCAACUGCAGAAUCAAGGAGGAGCAUUGCAACGAUAAGCAGUAUUACGAGGCAAACGGCUGCAAAUGCGUCUGCAACAACAUCGACGAGGCGGAAAAGUGCCGAAAAGGCAAUGAUACGAAGAUUUGGAACUCAGAACUCUGCGCCUGCUCGUGCAAGAUCGUCGAGCCGUGUAGCACCGGAUACUACUUCAAUCACAACACGUGCAGGUGUGAACGGACAGAAUAGGGGAAUCUGCUAGAGGAAUAAGACGUCUUUCUUACUGCACUCUACUUAAUCACGACUUUUGUGGACCGAUAAUGUCUAGGCCAAUGAACAGAUUUACAACCACAAAAGGUUCUAAUUAUAAUUUCUCUAACCGUCGACCAGCAAAUG